rnacentral:rRNA from 1 species
CACGAACCGUACGAACGUUAUUCGGAAUUACUGGGCUUAAAGGGGUUUGUAAGGCGGCCUUGUAAGUCAGGUGUGAAAAGCCCCUCGGCUCAAACCGAGGGAAACAGCGCUUUGAUACUGCAAAGGCUUUGAGGGAGACAGGGGGUAAGCGGGAAACUGAUGGGUGGAGCGGUGAAAUGCGUUGAUAUCAUCAGGAACACCGGUGGCGAAAGCGGCUUACUGGGUCUCUUCUGACGCUGAGGAACGAAAGCUAGGGUAGCGAACGGG